rnacentral:rRNA from 1 species
GAGUUUGAUCCUGGCUCAGGACGAACGCUGGCGGCGUGCUUAACACAUGCAAGUCGAACGGUAAGGCCCCAGCUUGCUGGGGUACACGAGUGGCGAACGGGUGAGUAACACGUGGGUGGCCUGCCCCGCACUUCGGGAUAAGCCUGGGAAACUGGGUCUAAUACCGGAUAGGACCGCACCGUGAGGGUGUGGUGGAAAGUUUUUCGGUGUGGGAUGGGCCCGCGGCCUAUCAGCUUGUUGGUGGGGUAAUGGCCUACCAAGGCGGCGACGGGUAGCCGGCCUGAGAGGGUGGACGGCCACAUUGGGACUGAGACACGGCCCAGACUCCUACGGGAGGCAGCAGUGGGGAAUAUUGCACAAUGGGCGGAAGCCUGAUGCAGCGACGCCGCGUGGGGGAUGACGGCCUUCGGGUUGUAAACUCCUUUCACCAUCGACGAAGGUUUUCUGACGGUAGAUGGAGAAGAAGCACCGGCUAACUACGUGCCAGCAGCCGCGGUAAUACGUACGGUGCGAGCGUUGUCCGGAAUUACUGGGCGUAAAGAGCUCGUAGGUGGUUUGUCGCGUCGUCUGUGAAAUUCCGGGGCUUACUCCGGGCGUGCAGGCGAUACGGGCAUAAUUGAGUACUGUCAGGGAGACUGGAAUUCCUGGUGUAGCGGUGAAAUGCGCAGAUAUCAGGAGAAACACCGGUGGCGAAGGCGGGUCUCUGGGCAGUAACUGACGCUGAGGAGCGAAAGCAUGGGUAGCGAACAGGAUUAGAUACCCUGGUAGUCCAUGCCGUAAACGGUGGGCGCUAGGUGUAGGGGUCUUCCACGACUUCUGUGCCGUAGCUAACGCAUUAAGCGCCCCGCCUGGGGAGUACGGCCGCAAGGCUAAAACUCAAAGGAAUUGACGGGGGCCCGCACAAGCGGCGGAGCAUGUGGAUUAAUUCGAUGCAACGCGAAGAACCUUACCUGGGCUUGACAUAUACGGGACCGGGCCAGAGAUGGUCCUUCCCUUGUGGCUCGUAUACAGGUGGUGCAUGGUUGUCGUCAGCUCGUGUCGUGAGAUGUUGGGUUAAGUCCCGCAACGAGCGCAACCCUUGUCUUAUGUUGCCAGCACGUAAUGGUGGGGACUCGUGAGAAACUGCCGGGGUCAACUCGGAGGAAGGUGGGGAUGACGUCAAAUCAUCAUGCCCCUUAUGUCCAGGGCUUCACACAUGCUACAAUGGUCGGUACAGUGGGUUGCGAUGCCGUGAGGUGGAGCUAAUCCCUGAAAGCCGGUCUCAGUUCGGAUCGGGGUCUGCAACUCGACCCCGUGAAGUCGGAGUCGCUAGUAAUCGCAGAUCAGCAACGCUGCGGUGAAUACGUUCCCGGGCCUUGUACACACCGCCCGUC